rnacentral:rRNA from 1 species
GAAAAACUCCGGUGGUACAAGAUGGACCCGCGUCUGAUUAGCUGGUUGGUGAGGUAACGGCCCACCAAGGCAACGAUCAGUAGCCGGCCUGAGAGGGUGAACGGCCACAUUGGGACUGAGACACGGCCCAAACUCCUACGGGAGGCAGCAGUGGGGAAUAUUGCACAAUGGGGGAAACCCUGAUGCAGCAACGCCGCGUGAGUGAAGAAGUAUUUCGGUAUGUAAAGCUCUAUCAGCAGGAAAGAAAAUGACGGUACCUGACUAAGAAGCCCCGGCUAACUACGUGCCAGCAGCCGCGGUAAUACGUAGGGGGCAAGCGUUAUCCGGAUUUACUGGGUGUAAAGGGAGCGUAGACGGUUUUGCAAGUCUGAAGUGAAAGCCCGGGGCUUAACCCCGGGACUGCUUUGGAAACUGUAGAACUAGAGUGCAGGAGAGGUAAGUGGAAUUCCUAGUGUAGCGGUGAAAUGCGUAGAUAUUAGGAGGAACACCAGUGGCGAAGGCGGCUUACUGGACUGUAACUGACGUUGAGGCUCGAAAGCGUGGGGAGCAAACAGGAUUAGAUACCCUGGUAGUCCACGCCGUAAACGAUGAUUACUAGGUGUUGGUGGGUACGACCCAUCGGUGCC